GGUGCUGCAUGGCCGUCGUCAGCUCGUGCCGUGAGGUGUUGGGUUAAGUCCCGCAACGAGCGCAACCCUUGUCACUAGUUGCCAUCAUUUGGUUGGGCACUCUAGUGAGACUGCCGGUGACAAACCGGAGGAAGGUGGGGAUGACGUCAAGUCCUCAUGGCCCUUAUGGGUAGGGCUUCACACGUCAUACAAUGGUCGGUACAGAGGGUUGCCAAGCCGCGAGGUGGAGCCAAUCCCUUAAAGCCGAUCGUAGUCCGGAUCGUAGUCUGCAACUCGACUACGUGAAGUCGGAAUCGCUAGUAAUCGCAGAUCAGCAUGCUGCGGUGAAUACGUUCCCGGGUCUU
rnacentral:rRNA from 1 species